rnacentral:rRNA from 1 species
UAGAGCAUCGAUGAACAACGUAGCGAAGUGCGAUAAGUAAUGUGAAUUGCAGAAUUCCGUGAAUCAUCGAAUUUUUGAACGCAUAUUGCACUCUCUGGUUUUCCAGGAGUAUGCCUGUUUGAGGGUCAGUUAAAUAAAAAUCGGGGUGUUGCUGCCUUUUGUGGUGACGCUUCGGAAUUGGGUCGUCUUUGCCUUUGGUUAAGUGACCUAAAAUUUAAUAUGAUUUUCGAACGUAUUUAAAUCCAUUACGUACGUUUGUGAUAAUCGAAUAUUAGGGGUGGCCAUCCUUAUGGUUCGCGCCUAUAAUUUUUCAUCAAUUGACCUCAAAUCAGGUAAGAGUACCCGCUGAACUUAAGCAUAUCAAUAAGCGGAGGA